GAUGAAGAACGCAGCGAAAUGCGAUAAGUAAUGUGAAUUGCAGAAUUCAGUGAAUCAUCGCAUCUUUGAACGCACAUUGCGCCCGCCAGCAUUCUGGCGGGCAUGCCUGUUCGAGCGUCAUUUCAACCCUCGAGCCCCCCCGGGGGCCUCGGUGUUGGGGGACGGCACACCAGCCGCCCCCGAAAUGCAGUGGCGACCCCGCCGCAGCCUCCCCUGCGUAGUAGCACACACCUCGCACCGGAGCGCGGAGGCGGUCACGCCGUAAAACGCCCAACUUUCUUAGAGUUGACCUCGGAUCAGGUAGGAAUACCCGCUGAACUUAAGCAUAUCAAUAAGCGGAGGA
rnacentral:misc_RNA from 1 species